AGAGUUUGAUCCUGGCUCAGGAUGAACGCUGGCGGCGUGCUUAAUACAUGCAAGUCGAACGGAUGGAUGCCAGGCCCAGCCUGGCUGAAGUCAGUGGCGAACGGGUGAGUAAUACGUAGGCAACCUGCCCCCAUGUGCGGAACAACGGAUGGAAACGUCCGCUAAUGCCGCAUAGGUGGCGGAGGGGCAUCCCUCCUCCAUUAAAGGCCCUCAUGGGGCCGCGCGGGGAUGGGCCUACGGUGCAUUAGCUUGUUGGCGGGAUGACAGCCCACCAAGGCGAUGAUGCAUAGCCGGCCUGAGAGGGUGGACGGCCACAUUGGGACUGAGACACGGCCCAGACUCCUACGGGAGGCAGCAGUAAGGAAUUUUCGGCAAUGGGGGAAACCCUGACCGAGCAACGCCGCGUGAGCGAUGAAGGCCUUCGGGUCGUAAAGCUCUGUUGCGAAGGAAGAACACCGCCAUCAGGAAAUGGAUGGCGGCUGACGGUACUUCGUCAGAAAGUCACGGCUUACUACGUGCCAGCAGCCGCGGUAAUACGUAGGUGGCAAGCGUUAUCCGGAUUUAUUGGGCGUAAAGGGUGCGCAGGCGGCCUGCCAAGUUCGAGGUGAAAGCGUUGGGCUCAACCCAAUACAGCUUCGAAUACUGGCAGGCUCGAGUGCAGGAGAGGAUGUCGGAAUUCCAUGUGUAGCGGUAAAAUGCGUAGAUAUAUGGAGGAACACCAGCGGCGAAGGCGGACAUCUGGCCUGCAACUGACGCUGAGGCACGAAAGCGUGGGGAGCAAAUAGGAUUAGAUACCCUAGUAGUCCACGCCCUAAACGAUGAGAACUAGGUGUUGGAGCGAUCCAGUGCUGCAGCUAACGCAAUAAGUUCUCCGCCUGAGGAGUAUGCACGCAAGUGUGAAACUUAAAGGAAUUGACGGGGCCCCGCACAAGCGGUGGAGUAUGCGGUUUAAUUCGACGCAACGCGAAGAACCUUACCAGGCCUUGACAUCCCCUGCAAAUCCAUGGAGACAUGGCAGGAGGCCAUCAGGGUGACAGGUGGUGCAUGGUUGUCGUCAGCUCGUGUCGUGAGAUGUUGGGUUAAGUCCCGCAACGAGCGCAACCCCUGUCUUCAGUUACCAUCAUUCGGUUGGGGACUCUGGAGAGACUGCCGGUGACAAACCGGAGGAAGGUGGGGAUGACGUCAAAUCAUCAUGCCCCUUAUGGCCUGGGCUACACGCGUACUACAAUGGCGCAGACAGCGGGAUGCGCGGCAGCGAUGCCAAGCCAAUCCCCCAAACUGCGUCCCAGUUCGGAUUGGAGUCUGCAAUUCGGCUCCAUGAAGUCGGAAUCGCUAGUAAUCGCGGAUCAGCAUGCCGCGGUGAAUACGUUCUCGGGGCUUGUACACACCGCCCGUCAA
rnacentral:rRNA from 1 species